rnacentral:lncRNA from 1 species
GAUUGCUUUUCUUACAUCCUUUUUCUUGUUACAAAAGGUAGAGAAGACUUGGAUAAAAGUAAGUCUCAACAAAAAAGAAGCAAAAAAUAAUCUAUAUUUUAAAAAUCACAAAAACAGGGAGUUCCCAUUGUGGCUCAGUAGAAAUGAAUCCGAUUAGUAUCCACGAGGAUGUGGGUUUGAUCCUUGGCCUUGCUCAGUGUGUUCAGGAUCUGGCCUUGCUGUGCCUGUGGUGUAGGCUGGCAGCUGCAGCUUCGAUUUGACCCCUAGCCUGGGAACUUCCACAUGUCGGGUGGGGGUGAGGCCCUAAAAAGCAAAAAAAAGGCAAAAAAAAACAUCACAAAAGCAAAUCACUAUUAACCAUUUGGAAUCUAUCUUCCAGUUAUUUUUUUGAUGCACAGAGAAACAUUUCUUUGCCGGCGCCCCCCAACCCCACCCUCACCCCGGUAGGAUCGACUCCAGGAUUCCUAGAGAUAAAAGAGAUGAAAUAGUGAAACAGGAAGCAGCACAAACAUGUCACAAGAUACACUCUGUGGUCUGUGGGAAUCGCAAGCCCUCCUCAUACACCUCUAAGCACAAGAAGCGCUCGUUCACAAAAAGAGGGAGAGGAUAUUUCUGCUACUGUCUUGCCCUUGUUCUCCAAGGACCUCCUCAUCCCUGUUUUGCCAAACCUCCUGGUAAGCUUCUCCCAUAAGCUCCUUCAAAUGCAGUGAUCGAUUCUCUACCUUCUUAGAACGGUAGAUACUCAUUUGCUGUUCGUCAACUCAUCCUUCUUAAAGGAAGCUAAGGGGAGAAAUGUCCUCAGCAUCCCAGAAUACUCCCUGGUGAGUUGGCCAAAGAUGAAGAGACAGAGGACUGUGACUAACUAGCAUAGGUUUCUUGGGCUUGCAACCUGCUGUGCAGCCAGCAAACUCAAGUGAGGCAUGGAACGAGGCUGUAAAAUGAAAAUUGGAUUUCCCUGGUUGCCCAGCUGUUAAGGAUCUGAUGUUGUCACUGCUAUAGUACAGGUUUGACC